CUCAUUGGCGCGCGCUGCGUGUGGGGUGUGUGUGUGUGUCCGGGGGCCCCCUCCUCCGGCCCCCGCCGCGCCAGGAAUCCGAGGGGGUGGCGGGCUGGGAGCCGAGCCCCGGCGCUUACCACCCGCCCCCCGCCUUUCCCCGGCCAAGCUUGCCAGAGCCGAGGUAGCUGCCCUGCCAAGAGCCAUCCUGGGAGAGCUAUUGAAAGAGCCUGGAACUCCCAUCAGGACCAGAGAAGAUGUGAUGCCAGGAAUAUUGUGGCGAUGUGAGGGCACAAAGACGUUAAGCAGGUUGACUGAUGUCACACUGAGCAGAGGGAAAGUUUUGCCAAGUCUCACCUUUGGAGGCCACAUUUCGUUCAGCGCAUUUACUGAAUAUCUACGAUGUGCCUGGCUAUGCGGUGAAGAAGGGAAAGCACAUUCCCUGCUUUUUCAGGACAAUUGAAGAAUGCUGACGUGCACGGAUCAUGGUUUUCCAGGUGCCAACUCAGCCUUCAAAAUGUGUGGUGUGGGGGAAAAUCAUGAAAAACAGGUGUGGAUUUCUAAGUGGUCCCAAACUGGGUAGAGACUACCCUUGUGAAAGUCCACGCAGCGCUCCAAUUCCCUGUCUCUGUCAAUCAUGUGGAAUGGAAGAAGCUGAGUUCAGAAGCAAACUUGUGAAGAAAUUUCUCCCCAUUUGUGUCUUGUGAACCUUGAUUUUUCUCCUCCAAGGAGGGAGAGAAGGACCAUGUUGGGAGUGAGAGGCUCUCGCAAGCCAAUUCCAGGAACAGUUAUGAGCAUGUGGGGCCUGUUGCAAAGGCUGCCUGGGACAGGGUACCCGGCUCUCAAACUGCCCACACUGCCAUGGAGUGGACUGGAGGUAGCUGAAUAAAAUAUUACAAAACUA